rnacentral:sRNA from 2 species
GCUGAGGGGCAAACCACGAAGAAUUGAAGGCAUUUGUUAUGACUUUUUUAUGCCCUGACAUUGCAAUCUGGUCUCAAACUUUUAUAAAUAUCCCCUAUAUCAGUUAUGGCAUAUUCCCCUUGUCGCAAGCUCUUAAAACCUGAAAAAUAUUCGAUAUUUAACUGACCAACCCUAGCUUAGAUGCAAGUCGGAGCGUAUAGCCUUCAUCAAGAGAUAUGUCGCAUCUCACCGAGCCUAGCAUUAAUUUACAACUAACCGCACAACUCGCUGGAGGUAUGGAGCAAAUACUGGACGCGAAAUCCCAAUCCCACGGUGAAAAUUAUCAUCUGCGCCUCUGUUGAGUAAAGGUCUGCAAUCUUCCCAUGUUCAUGGGUUGCAGCUCUGUGAAAGAUGGCGAACAACCACAUCUAAACAAUGGCUUGUGCUCCAUUAAUCGUUACAUGUCCCUCUAUUGUCCUAUUUCAUGGUAUCCCCGAAGUCUAGAAUAGAGGAAAGUGAUGCAAAUGCACGAAUGGGCCCAACCACUCAACCACCAUAUAUUCAAAUUUGAAUCAUUGGCGAAGCCAAAUAUCGGCCCUCGGAUGAAAAUAUUGCGAAUACCACAAUGUAUUGUACAAGUCUCAACCAGGUCAGACAUCCUCAGCCAACUUUAGAGGGCGCCAGAGAAUUGGAAGGCUCUAGCAGGCUUCGAUCGCAGCCUUGACAUCUGUCGCUAUCCUGUUGAAUUUCCUAGUCGGGAAAAGUCGUCAUGCUACAUGAGCCCAGCAAGUAUGAGGCAAACAGAUUCUCUGCAGCCCAUGGCUACCUUCGUUUAGCGUCUCCUGUCCGCCCAGUUUUCUGCAAGAGGACCCGACUUCGGACUAGCGAACUCUCACAGAGGACCCAAAAUGUCUCUUAUUCCAUAGCUCUGUCUGUUGUUGCAUUUCUUCAUGCUUAUGACUUCCACUGUCGAUUUCACUAGCAGAGCUGUUUUCAUGAGCCAGUGAUUUUCUGAGUGAGGACUUCUUGCAAAAUCCAGAGUACCCUACAUGCUUUGAAGCAUGUAUCUGGUUUCUUCUGUUGAGCAGAAGCUCACCCGGCUUUUUAAGGUUCGCAACCUGAGGGAUAUCGAGUCAUCAACACUGUCUGCAAAUAAAUAAUAAAUAAAAAGGUUAGCGAUUGUUGAUUGUUAUUAGACAACAGAAUGAGCUGUCAUUGCUGUCCUGUUCCUACUCCUAAGAAAAAGUGAUAUCAAGGGAAAGACCGAGAAAAGCCAAUCAGUGAGAGGAACAGAAGUAUGAGAUUGGAAAGGAAAAGCCAAGUGUAUAGCGUGACAUUGCGUAAAAGAAAACCCUAUGAAGUCUGAGCAUUCUCACAUUUCUUUCAAGCUGAUUACCUGACAAUCAUUCACAAAACACCAACUCACUCAUAGUACAAGUUUCCUUUUGAACAGAGACUUUAUAUUGAGCAACGUUCUUGCAUUUCAUUGAAGAUUGAAGCUGCAAGGAAAAUAACUUGAACACUGUCAAGGGUGUGGAGGUACUUGAGUCAUAUCUCAAUGGACUCUCUGUCAGCCUGAACCUCAAUUCCCGAGACAUCUAGCCCAUAUGAUGAAACGGAAGGUAUUUUUUGAUCUUCUAUUCUUUCACUAAGAAAAGUGUGUAUAUCUAAAAAUACAACAUGUAAAUGAGCUAAUUCAUGAUCAUACAAAACAUGUCUUAACAAGAUAUGAUAUGAUAUAUACCAAAGGCCAAGCCUUGCGACCAAAAACCAUAAAACGCAGAGCAGAGCAGCACAAUGAACCUUUUAAAGGAAAACGGGCAAUGAUAAAGGAUAAUUUAAAAGCAAAAGCCAAAUUUGAUCCACAAAAAGAAAAAGAAAACGAAAAGAAAAAAGAAGAAAAAAGGUAACAGAGGCAGUCCGCAACACGAACCUGAUUGAAAACAGAAUCUAUUUGGACUCUAUAUGUCGAUGCAAACUAAACGUCUCAGUAGCAUCAGCCGUCCCAUCCCCAUCCCCAUCAUCAAAAACAUCAGAAUCAUUAUCCGUAAAAUCAUCAUGAUAUCCGAUCGGAUCAAUGGCAACGUGGUCAUCAUCAAUGUCCGCGUCCAGAUCAUAACCGUGCGCAACACCAUCGCGUCGGAAGCCAAUGCGAGAUUCCUCGUCAAGCGCCUGGGCAGCCGCGGUUUCUUCCGAAUCAUCUGAGAAGAUACCUGGCGAUUGGGGCUGGUGCGCAUCAUUGGCCACGAGUCGUCGGGUAUUAUUGUUAGCGCGCUCUUCGGCUUCGAGCUCCUUGGAGCGCGCGAGGGUACUAUUUGGAAGUUCGUUUAAUAUGCGUGUUGUUUAAUUUACCGUGGAGAUGGAUAUGAUGUGAAUUUUUUCGGUGUAAAAAUUGGAACGUCACAAAUUAAAAGCAAUUAAAAAAAUAAAAAUAAAAAUGGAGGCAGAAUUAGGGCGGUGUUAUUAACUAGGGAUAUGAAGCCGAGUGUGUGGAUUUUACAUACUUUCUAUAUAUAUACCACCCAGUAAAGAUACCUACAACCAUGCUGACCAAGAUGCUGAUAAUGUUGAUGGCUUUCGAGCCAGCGCUCAUCGUCUCGCCGUUUUGCGCUAGAAUGCGCAGUCUGCUGCCGAUGAAGGUCGGGACCAACAGUUUUGGAGAUAUGAUAGUAGUAGCAAGGCCGUACAUGAGGGGAUGCACUGUGGGGAAAGUCGAUAUGGCCCCAUUACAUAUUGAAUAUGGCAAUGGGCAAAGUCUGAUCAUACAAAGUAAUUUUAAGCCAUCGUAUUUUAGAGUCAGUGCGAGGGCAGCAAAGCGUUUAUCAUGUUCCAUUAAUCGAUGGACGAAGGACGAGAGGA